UUUUUCCUUUUCCAUAUUUAUUUUAAAGUUAAAAUUACAAAGACAGCAAGUUUUUCCCGGCACAAAUAACACUUGUUUAAAAAAAGGGGAGUGGGGGGAAUGCGCUAUUUUCCUAUUUUAUUAAAAAUAAGAGAAAGUCAACUGUACAGGUUUUUUUCUCCCAGCUCCCGGGUGUGAAACGUUAGUGCUAGCCCUAGAUAUAUAUAUAUAUUUAUAUAUAUAAAUACACACACAUGCACACAGACCUAGCUCUGUAAAACUACUUAGCAAAUUCAAAAUCGACUGCGGUAUGUCUUAUUGUCCACUCCCCGCCCACUGACCCUCCCCCCAUCUACAACUACUGAGAAAAAACCCAGAAAUAAAGAGGUUGGGAAGUUUUAGGUGGCUGGGGGCGUGGCUGGAGCCCCACCAGACCAAGCAAAGCCACCUCUUGUACAGGAGGAACAAAAAACCAGGGAAGAGAAAAAAGUCCUCCUGGGACACAACCCAUCAAUUGUGUGGAAAAACCUAAACUUCAACAGGACACACUGAGGCACUUGGCUGACUCCCUCAUCCCCCAAAGUUUCCACUCCCGUUUAGCAAGUGACUUUGCUGAAGCCACAAAGACCCUUCAGUGUUUAGUUCCUAGCUGACUGAGGGAAGCUACAGCUCCCCCCUCCCCUUUUCUAAGACAAUCUGGAGGCCACAAGGGCAGACUAGCAGAAGUCAGAAAGAAACGGGUUUUGACCCCCAAUGCUCACCAUUGUGAGGUGGAAAUCAGCCCAGAGACCGUUUUAUCUACCUCCAUCCUUUACUGUCUGGCUGCUGCCACCCCACUUCUCGGCCAAAGGUUCAGAAAUUCUCACAAGGGGUGCCCAAUUUAAAGUUCACUGACCUUAAAAGAUACUCCUACAAACCUUACAACUCCUGGGCUCCCUCUCACCUAG